CCUACGGGAGGCAGCAGUGAGGAAUAUUGGUCAAUGGGCGUAAGCCUGAACCAGCCAAGUCGCGUGAGGGAUGAAGGUUCUAUGGAUCGUAAACCUCUUUUAUAAGGGAACAAAGUGCGGGACGUGUCCCGUGUUGUAUGUACCUUAUGAAUAAGGAUCGGCUAACUCCGUGCCAGCAGCCGCGGUAAUACGGAGGAUCCGAGCGUUAUCCGGAUUUAUUGGGUUUAAAGGGUGCGUAGGCGGCCUUGUAAGUCAGCGGUGAAAGUGCGUGGCUUAAACAGAGAACAGCCGUUGAAACUGGGAGUCUUGAGUGUGUGUGAGGUAGGCGGAAUGCGUGGUGUAGCGGUGAAAUGCUUAGAUAUCACGCAGAACCCCGAUUGCGAAGGCAGCCUGCC
rnacentral:rRNA from 1 species